rnacentral:rRNA from 1 species
UGGCGACCGGCGCACGGGUGAGUAACGCGUAUCCAACCUUCCCAUAGCUAGGGAAUAACCUUGCGAAAGUAAGACUAAUGCCCUAUAACAUUCUUUGCAGACAUCUAAAGAGAAUUAAAGAUUUAUCGGCUAUGGAUGGGGAUGCGUCUGAUUAGGUUGUUGGCGGGGUAACGGCCCACCAAGCCCACGAUCAGUAGGGGUUCUGAGAGGAAGGUCCCCCACAUUGGAACUGAGACACGGUCCAAACUCC